CCUGCCUCAGCCUCCCAAGUGGCUGGGAUUAUGGUGUAGGCCACCAUGCCCAGCUUAUUUUCAAUAUUUUUUAAAACAGCAGAGGUGGGAGGAAGAAAAUCACCAUAGUAUACUCCUCCAAGUCAAGGAGGCAUGAAGAAGGAUCCCUACAAAACUUCCCCUCUGGUGAGGCAAGUGGUUCUGCUCAGCCCACUGUGUAAAUGGGACGACUGAUCCCAACCCUUGCCAUCCUCCCUGGAAUGAGUCACACAUCUGUGCCCCUCACUAUACCACUCUAAAAGCCUCCAGGAGAAUGAGUGUCACCCACUCCCCAUCAUUGCUAUGUCUGGUCAUGUGACUUGCUUUGACAAAUGAAAGGUGAUCAGACGUGAUCCAAGCAAGUUUUCAACAUGCCUAUUUAGUUUGGCUUACCCUCUUGUACUUCUGCCAUCUGCCACAAGAAAAAUGUACCUGAGGAGCAUCCAUUGCCAGGUGGAUGGGAGACAAGUAGAACACACCUGAACAAACCACAGCCUAGAGUCCAGUCCAACUGAUCCCAGAGCUUGGCAGAGCUGCCAGCAGCUAAAGACCUGUGAGCUAGAAAGAGGUGUAUCAGAGUUGUCAACUGAUCACAAUCUGCAGCAUGAUUGCAGCAAACAUCUGGGGCAGGCGUCUGGCUUGUCUGUCUGUCUGGCAUUCCUUCUCCUAUUUUACAUGUGGAAGCAUCGAGAAACUAGAAAAGUCAAGGAAACAGAUUCUCCUCUAGAGCCUCCAGAAGGAAAACAGUCCUGCAACAUCCGGCCUAUAGCCUAGUGAGAUCCAUGUCAAACUCCCACCUGCAGAAGGGUAUUUUGUCACAGAGGAAGAAAACUGACAUAACAACAAAAGAUACAAAUGGUGAGUGGACAAUUUGAUGAGUUUUAACAAAAGCACAUGCUUUUACAACACAGAUCCCUAUCAAAACAUGGAAUAUUGCUAUCAAUCCAGAAAGUUCCUUCAUGCCCCUUCCCAGUCAGUAUCUGUCCUCAUGAUUCUAGAGGCAAAUGCUGCUCUGAUUUUAUAUUUAUAUUUAUAUUUGUAUUAGUUUUGUCUGUUCUGCAACUUCCCAUAGAAAUUAUACUUGUGUGUGGA